UACCAGCUCUCCGAGUGGUAGGGACGAUUAUUGGGCCUAAAGCGUCCGUAGCCGGCCAAGCAAGUUUCCCGUUAAAUCCAGCGAUCCAAUCGUUGGACUGCGGGAAAUACUGUUUGGCUAGGGGGCGAGAGAGGCCAACGGUAUUCCCGGGGUAGGGGUGAAAUCCUAUAAUCCCGGGAGGACCACCAGUGGCGAAGGCUGUUGGCUAGAACGCGCUCGACGGUGAGGGACGAAAGCUGGGGGAGCGAAC
rnacentral:rRNA from 1 species